rnacentral:rRNA from 1 species
GACGAACGCUGGCGGCGUGCUUAACACAUGCAAGUCGAACGGUGAAGCUCCAGCUUGCUGGAGUGGAUCAGUGGCGAACGGGUGAGUAACACGUGAGCAACCUGCCCCUGACUCUGGAAUAAGCGCUGGAAACGGCGUCUAAUACUGGAUACCAGAAGGGUCCGCAUGGGCACUUUCUGGAAAGUUUUUCGGUUGGGGAUGGGCUCGCGGCCUAUCAGCUUGUUGGUGAGGUAAUGGCUCACCAAGGCGACGACGGGUAGCCGGCCUGAGAGGGCGACCGGCCACACUGGGACUGAGACACGGCCCAGACUCCUACGGGAGGCAGCAGUGGGGAAUAUUGCACAAUGGGCGAAAGCCUGAUGCAGCGACGCCGCGUGAGGGAUGACGGCCUUCGGGUUGUAAACCUCUUUCAGCAGGGAAGAAGCGAAAGUGACGGUACCUGCAGAAGAAGCACCGGCUAACUACGUG